AUAGUGAAAACUCAAACCUUUAUUUUGUAGCAGACUUCAGUUCUCGCAGGCUAAGGGGGCAGAGGUCUUAAAGCAAAGGUUACCUGAGUGAAGGGAGAGUUCCCC
ensembl:miRNA eca-mir-9051 eca-mir-9051